UACGACUACAUAUCAGGCAUAUCAAUAAGCGGAGGAAAAGGAACUAACAAGGAUUCCCCUAGUAACGGCGAGUGAAGCGGGAAGAGCUCAAAUUUGAAAUCUUAAAGGGUUUCCCUUUACGAAUUGUAGUUUAAAGAAGUGUUUUCUGUUGGAGUUUCGGUAAAAGUUCUUUGGAAUAGGACAUCAUAGAGGGUGAGAAUCCCGUAUUUGACCGUUACUUUCCAGCUGUGUGAUACACUUUCAAAGAGUCGGAUUGUUUGGGAAUGCAGUCCAAGAUGGGUGGUAAAUUUCAUCUAAAGCUAAAUAUUGGCGAGAGACCGAUAGCGAACAAGUACCGUGAGGGAAAGAUGAAAAGAACUUUGAAAAGAGAGUUAAACAGUACGUGAAAUUGUCAAAAGGGAAGCGUUUGACACCAGUGUUGUUUAGUUGAAAAUCAAUUCAAUAGUUUUUGAUUCUAAGUAGUAUUGACUUCAUCAGCUUGCUGCUUUCUUCUCAGAAAUUAUUGAAUGCACUUUUCAGUUAACAAGUCAACAUCAAUUUCUUUUGUUGUAAAAGGGUAAGAGGAAGGUGGCUUGCGCUUCGGCUCAAGUGUUUAUAGCCUUUUAUCUCUGCAAUCGGAGAGAUUGAGGUCUGCAGCGUAGAUCCUUCGGGGUUAGAUACAUUGGUGCUAAGCUAUAGCCUUGUAUAGACAACUUGUUGACUAUGCUCAGUCAUGUAGCUUACUCGCUGAUGCUAUUUUACCUACGCUUAGGAUGUUGAUCUACAGAGCGAGAGU
rnacentral:rRNA from 1 species